GGUUCUUGAGGGCAGGAAUUGGGUCUUAGGACUGAUAGCCCCUAGUGGCUAGCAGCCCAUGGCAGUGUCUGGUAAACACUGGUGGAGUCCUGGGUGGAAGAAGGUCUGGUCCUCA
rnacentral:miRNA from 1 species